CCCCUGAGACAAUUUUAUAAAGAAAGGUUUGACAUUGUGAGGGCCAGGCCUCUUCACAGAGUUAAUAUAGGAGUCAAAGUGGUGUCCACGUGGCAUUGAACUCAGGUCCUCAGACUUGCUUUUGUGUGAACAGUGUGAUCAGAUCAGCUCUUGCAAGGGAGGGGAAGAUCUGAUAGGGGUUACAAAACAGACAAGGUCUGCAGGGCACACUGCUUGACCUGGUGAACAGAGUAGCCGAGGAGCCAGGGCCUCUUGUAUCCUGUCAUCUGCCACCCUCAAGCUGUCCCUCCACUAGCCCACUUCAAGGAUCCCUGAACAGGAAGGUCAGAUGGGAAGAACAAGCCCUCACCCUCAUUGGUCAAGAGUGUCUGUCACAUUGCCUUUCCUUCUCUAUUGGGUUGUAAUCCAAGCAUCCUGCUGCUGUUGGGCAAGCUCAAAACAAAAGAGCUGUAUGCCUUGCUCAAGGUCAUGCAGCUAGCGAAGGCUAAACUGGGACUGGUUUCUUCUGGUUUGGCAACUCCAAAGCGGGAGCUGUUUCCCAGAGCAGUUGUCUCUGGUGAGAUUCGGGACAGGAGGCUGGGAACAGCAGGAAGACAUCGUGUUUCCCUGCCUCACAGUUUGGCCUAUACCAACCUGUUUAGCCAGUGUGCCCUGUUUAUAGAGACCACAGUGACAAAUGACAAGAUACCAGUGGGCUGCACAGGAGACCUGACAAACAUUGCUGUUGUCUGUUUGUUUCCUCAGUGCAGCCCACAUUGUUGAAACCUCACUGCUGACUGACUGGCUUACACCUGCGUAGCCCUGUGUUCAUCUCAGAUGAAGUCUGAUGUGUGCUAGUGAGUAAGGUCUGAGGCAGCAGAAGAGAGGGUGUGGCGUGCCACACUACCUGGGUCAGAGCUGGCCACACCUGUCGAAAGCAGUUAACAAGUGUCUGGACCAGUGGAGAAGACGCAGGCCUCUGAGCCACAGCGAGGACAAAUCCUGGGACAUUGUCAACAGGAAGAAGCAUGAGCGUCCGUCUGCCAUGAGACGGACGGGUCCUGGAGGAAAGAGACCCAAAAAGAAGAGGGGCCUGGGGCCCAGGAGCCCUGGGGUAGAGGCGGACAGCUUUCCUCGGUCCACAGGGCUGCAGAGGUGGGGGCUAAGCGCAGAUGUUUGCAGCAUCUCUGUCGGCAGUGUUAGCAUUCCGUCUGAGCUCCACCCCCACAGUCACCUGGCUGGGGGAGUUAAAUGCAGAUGUCUGCAGCACAUGGGGAGCACUUUUAUUUAGAAAAAACCAAAAGGAAUUUAAAAGCCUGUGACUACAAUUUUUAGCCUGCAACUAUGAUAAUUUUUUAAAAAAAAGGUUUAGUAUCCAGUGAUAAUUAUAACUGUUACCAAGGCUGGGCUAAUUACUUAUCAGAAUUCUAUCAAUGUGUUCAAGUUUGAACUCUGAAGUCUUAGCACCAUGCCUCGUCUAUAAACCUCAUUUUCAUGUGCCUUGAAUCACUUCCUCAGACCUUUACAACUUACAUUCACACACCUUAAAUGAUUUCCUUGGACCUUUACAAGUUACAUAAAUUUUGAACUUUUUUUUUAAUCUGGAAAUCUCUGGUCAUUUGCCAUGAGACAGAAGGGCUAGACCACUGAGAGCAGUCACUGGAGAUCAAGCUCCUUUAGAUAAAGGAGUAGUAAGAACAGUAAAGCUGCAGUCAGAGCAGCAACGUGAUAGCUUGAUUUGGUUUUUACACUGAAACCUGUUUUGGGAGUUUCUCUUUUUCAGAAAGAGGCUUGACACUCUAGGAAAAGCCACACCUGGUUUUUACAUAUGAAACUAAUUCAGGCUGGCAGAUAACUGAGUUUCAGUUUUAAAACCCUUUUUAUUAAUUUUAAUUAAAAUACUUUAUUCAUUUGUUUUUGUUAGUAUCAGAGGACAAUUUACAGAAAUGGGUCUCUCCUUCCAUGGUGUGGUUCUGGGCUUGGUCACUGGGCUUGGUGGCAGGCACCUUUAUAUCAGGUGAGCCAUUUCUCUAGCUCCUAAAGCCCUUUUUAUUAAAGAGACUUAGAGAACUAAACUAUUUUUUUAAUAUUUUAUUUUAUUUGCACUGGUAUUUUGCACGCAUGUAUGUCUGUGUGGUGUCAGACUUCAGAGAGAUAAAGAAACCACUUAAAGUG
rnacentral:sRNA from 1 species